GAAGGUGUGUGGUAACGCAUGCUGGACGUAUCAGAAGUGCGAAUGCUGACAUGAGUAACGAUAAAGGGGGUGAAAAACCUCCUCGCCGGAAGACCAAGGGUUCCUGUCCAACGUUAAUCGGGGCAGGGUAAGUCGACCCCUAAGGCGAGGCCGAAAGGCGUAGUCGAUGGGAAACGGGUUAAUAUUCCCGUACUUCUUACAAUUGCGAUGGGGGGACGGAGAAGGCUAGGUGGGCCUGGCGACGGUUGUCCAGGUUCAAGUGCGUAGGCUUAAGAGUUAGGUAAAUCCGGCUCUUUUUAAGGCUGAGACACGACGUCGAGCAUCUACGGAU
rnacentral:rRNA from 1 species